UGUCUCCACCUGUCGUAAGGCGUGUAACCGUUCUGCUGCAGGAAGUCAUCUUUAAUGAGCUUCGCGACUUCCAGGGUGAUCUUGUCCGUCUCGGCCAGAGAAGCCUGGGGACAAAACGUAACCCAAGAUGGCCUUUCAAAAUCAUCUUUUUCCUCACCUUUCCUACAAGCUGCACUAUCUCAGCCAGGUCUUCCUCCUCCUGGAGAAUCUCCUUGGCUUUCGUCCGAAGAGGCACAAACUCAGGGAAGUGUUUAUCGUAGUAUUCAUCCAGCGCCCGGGUGUACUUGCUGUAGCUAAUCAGCCAGUUCACGGAUGGGAAGUGUUUCCUCUGAGCCAACUUCUUGUCCAGUCCCCAGAACACCUGCAAGGGCGCAAAUGCAAGUGAGUGUCAUCGUCGAGAACUGUGUCUUGUGAAUAACUGCAUCGUGAACUACUCGCCACCCCUUGCCUGGACUAUGCCCAAUGUAGCUGAUGUGACGGGAUCUGAGAAGUCUCCACCGGGGGGUGACACACUAGAAAAGUGAACCCGCUAAUUAAUCAUGCGUCACAUCAUAAGACUUAUUUAUUUGCAUCGUUUGAAAAUGAAAGCCAGCUUACGCUCCUACGAUGCUGACACUGCCUUCUCGCUCGGGGUUCCCCAGACACUUGACGCGUCCCGCUCGCUCGUAGAAGGAGGCGAGCCUGGCGCCCAGGUAGGCCGGGUAUCCGCUGUCUACACACAUGAUGACACCCAAGUCGCCGCUCACAAACGGGGAUCUCCUCUCUCUCGUCCGUGUUUGUGACAUAUAACGUGAACUCACCGGCGGGCAUUUCGGCUAAUCGGCCAGAGAUUUCUCUCAGAGCUUCGGCCCAUCGCGACGUCGAGUCGGCCAUCAUGCUCACGUUGUAACCCAUAUCCCUGAAGUAUUCAGACAGUGUGAUUCCUGCCAAAGGGAUCAGGAAAUAAACAUGAGUACCGAAGACAGUCGUGGACGACGACGAUUUUAUUUUGGCACCUGUGUAGAUCGAAGCCUCUCUGGCAGCCACGGGCAUGUUGGAUGUGUUGGCAACAAGUGCCGUUCGUUUCAUGAUGCUCUCAACUUUGCCGCCAACUUCCAUUGUGAGCUGUUGGGCAGGAUCGGUUCAAAUAUUGUGAUGGCUUGAGUUACAAAUUCAGUUUGAAUUAAAUCAAUUUGCGGUCUCGCACCAACCUCUGGGAAAUCUCGCAGCACCUCCGACAUUUCAUUCCCACGUUCUCCACAGCCAACGUAGAUGAUGACAUCACUGUUGGAGUAUUUGGACAAUGACUGGGAGAUGACGGUCUUUCCACAGCCAAAGGCACCUGGUAUAGCUGUGGUGCCUCCUUGCACGCAGCUGUUAAGUGCAACAGGCACAUUAGUUUUAUAUGUUUAGCACAAAAGCGAAACGUUUGCUUCAUGUUGAAAAAGCCUCACGGGAAAAGUGCAUCCAAGACUCUCUGACCGGUGAGCAGAGGAUGAUUGGCAGGCAGUUUUUCGGUGACUGGGCGGACCUGUCGCACCGGCCAUACCUGCACCAUGGUAAACUUCUCCUUGAUGCCUUCAAAAUCCAGUUCAAGAACCACAUCCUGAACGCAAAAGUGACAAAAGAAACUGUUGCUAAUUUCUAAUCAAACACAAAUGACAAAAGAACUUAUGGAGGGGGAAAAAAGACUUACAGAGACAUCGUAGUUUCCGGGCGGUGCCACGUAAGUGACUGUGCCCCUGCUGCGAGGCGGAAGCAUCAGUUUGUGCUGUAUCAAGGAGUUCUCAAACACCAUGCCGUAGAUGUCACCACCUGUAAUGUGACUGCCAACCUACAAGAGGUGGCAUGUAAUUAAUUCUAUCAAUUUGUUGUACAUACUGUAUGUCCAGGGGUUAUAACCUGCCUAUAUAGAAAAUGGACCAUCAACCACCACUUAACAACAUACCCGAAGACUUUGGCUUGGAGUAAACUCCCAUUUGAGGUCUCUGUUCAAGGCGCCGAUGUUCACUCCUCUUGGGAUGUAGAUGCUUUGUGUGAGGUCAUUGAUGUCUUUCAGUGGUCGCUGGAUGCCGUCAAAGAUGGAGCCCAUGACUCCUGGUCCCAACUCCACAGAGAGGGGUUUACCUGUGCGAAGAACUGGGUCACCCACCGACACCCCAGCUGUGAUGCACAGUCAAGGAAAGUGACUAACUGCUAAACCAGAUGACAAUAUAUACCAAAUUAAUACAGUAUUUGACUUGUGAGAAAUGUACAUUUUACAGCUUUAGUAACAUUUAAUGAGAAUGGCUUGCCAAGUGUUCCAGGGGAGCUAUUAGGGUAUAAAGUAUAAACAGGAUACAAGUCUCCUCAUAGACUUGGAUGGUGGCCAUGUCUCCUUCUAAACGGAUGAUCUCUCCCACCAGCUCACUGUGGCCGACACGGACCAACUCGUACAUGGCGGCUCCUGCCAUAGCAGUGGCUGUCACCACUAGAGAAAAGAAAGCAAAUAUUUAUGAGCAAACACAAUGGCCAAGUAUUUAAGAUAUAAUAUGGCACUUAUGACAUUAGGUUAUGAUUUAGGUUUAGCAAUGGAGCAUCUUACAUUUUGAAUAACAAUAAUAAUAAUAAUACGAAAAGAACAUUGACAUUAGAUUGUGUUUUUAAUCUAUUUCCAAAAGGUAAACCAAACCACACCUGGUCCCGAAACUCCAUGGACGUAUCCAAACUGGCUUUCUCGCUCCGCAUCCUGGAUCUUUGGAAGCUUUGAGGUAUCCAUCGCGACAGUUCCUCUUCUGAAAGAGCCAUUGAGACCUAUGAUGCUUCCACUCAGUCCCGAAAGGUGUGAUGGGACAGAUGGGGGAGGGAGAGGUGGCGGCGGUGGACCUGGUGGAGGAGCCACG